rnacentral:rRNA from 1 species
GACGAACGCUGGCGGCGUGGAUUAGGCAUGCAAGUCGAACGGUAGGAUACCUUCGGGUAUCUGAGAGUGGCGAACGGGUGAGUAACACGUAGGUGAUCUACCCUCAAGAUUGGGACAACCCAGGGAAACUUGGGCUAAUACCGGAUGAAAGCAGCAGUGAUGUUGUUUGAAAGGUGGCGUAAGCUGCCGUUUGGGGAUGAGCCUGCGCUCUAUUAGUUAGUUGGCGGGGUAAAGCCCACCAAGGCGAUGAUAGAUAGGCGGCCUUAACGGGUGGUCGCCCACACUGGGAUUGAGAUACGGCCCAGACUCCUACGGGAGGCAGCAGUCGAGAAUAGUCUACAAUGGCCGAAAGGCUGAUAGUGCGACGCCGCGUGAACGAAGAAGCCCUUGGGGUGUAAAGUUCUUUUAUAUGUGAGCAGUGCUUUCUAUGUGAACAGCAUGGGGAAGAGAUAUUAGCAUAUGAAUAAGCAACGGCUAACUCCGUGCCAGC